rnacentral:rRNA from 1 species
GAGUUUGAUCGUGGCUCAGAUUGAACGCUGGCGGAAUGCUUUACACAUGCAAGUCGAGCGGCAGCGCGGGCAACCUGGCGGCGAGCGGCGAACGGGUGAGUAAUGCAUCGGAACAUGUCCAAGUCGUGGGGGAUAGCCGGCGAAAGCCGGAUUAAUACCGCAUGUGCCCGAGAGGGGGAAAGUAGGGGGGACCGCAAGGCCUCACGACGAUUGGGUUGGCCGAUGUCCGAUUAGCUAGUUGGCGGGGUAAGAGCCCACCAAGGCGAUGAUCGGUAGCUGGUCUGAGAGGAUGAUCAGCCA